AUACGGAGGGUGCAAGCGUUAUCCGGAUUUAUUGGGUUUAAAGGGUGCGCAGGCGGACCUGUCAGUCAGUGGUGAAAUCCCGGGGCUCAACCCCGGAACUGCCAUUGAUACUACAGGUCUUGAAUACGGUUGAAGUAGGCGGAAUGUAGCAUGUAGCGGUGAAAUGCAUAGAUAUGCUACAGAACACCGAUCGCGAAGGCAGCUUACUAAGCCGAUAUUGACGCUCAGGCACGAAAGCGUGGGGAGCGAACAGGAUUAGAAACCCUAGUAGUCC
rnacentral:rRNA from 1 species